CAGCUGGCAUGGAGGAGCCUUGGAUGGGGUGUGAACAACACUUACUGCUCAUGUGUAAUAGCAAGGGAUUUCAUUGAAGCCCUUAACUACAGCAUCUGAAAUGAGACAAAUACAGCCUUGUGUUUACAGUGCUCUUCUGCGGGAACAGAAGCUUCUUAGGGGCAGAGAGCUGGGGUGGAAACUGUUCCAGCUGCCUUAUUUCUGAGUCAUCCCUAGACUCAGCCUGAGGCAACACACUGCUCAGCGUUUCAUAUGCUAUGUAUGUAGUUCAUUCUUUCUGUUCUAUGGAGAAAUAAUUAUCUAGCCAACGAGCAAGACACUGCGCAGUGAGUGCACCACAACUAAAUGCUUCAAAAAUACUUUAGGAAAAUUCUUGCUCCCCCUGCAGUCAAAGGAAGCUUUUGCAGUGAAUUUAAGGUGGCAAGGAAAUGUGCCUCUCUCCUAUGGACGCCCUAAAAUGGGCUUGAUGUGUGUGUUUGCUUUGCU